GGCAUAGUAAUUUAAUAUAAAAUACUGGUCUUGUAAAUCAGAAAUAAGUUACACUUCUAAGCCA
rnacentral:tRNA from 1 species